rnacentral:lncRNA from 1 species
CCUCGGCCAGAGCGUUGCCUUACAAGGAAUGGAUCUUAUAUCAAACCUCCUGGUCCUGGUUAUAAUAGGACUGCACCCCCUUGUGCCGAAUCUCCUAAAGUUAGCCCUAUGACGAAAAACGUACCGAGAGACGUGCAUUGGAUUGAGAGCGAGUUUUAUCCCCCACCUCAGGACCAGAAUGAGGCAAACGACUCUUGCGGUGGAUGCUGGGCCUACGCAAGUGCCAGCGUCAUGGAGAUUCUUGUAUCGCGGAAACUACGGCAAGUUAUUCGACUCUCUAAACAACAGUUGCUCGACUGCGAGAAGGAGAACAACGGAUGCGAUGGCGGCGACCUCGAAAACGGUCUCCGUUACAUCAUGGAAACCGGGCUGGCACUUGAAAGGGACUACUCGUUCACAGGAAGAGGAGGGGGG